rnacentral:misc_RNA from 1 species
UUUAACUGAUUAGCGAAAUGAAAAAUGAAUGCCUUUAUCAUUGAAACGUAACAGAUAAAACGAAACAAUAGUUUGCACGUUUUGCACGUAUAUAUCCAGGUAUAACGCUUAUUAAGGAUGUUUGAAAGCAUUAAGUUUAAAUGAUAUAUAGAUUGAAAGUUUCUUAACAUUAAUUGGCACAGAUGUCGUAGUUUUUUUGUGACGGGCAGUGCAGAAUAAAAAAAACAGGAAUGAGUCACUCUAGAGCGGAAUAGGGCGAUUGAACAGUUUGCGUGAAGUGUGAAAUAGAGUCUAUCUCUUUAUGCCAAUUGAACUUAGAUUUAAAAAUAAUCACAGCUAAGAUUCCCUUGUUGCUGAGCCAAUUUAUGCGUUCCGAAAAUGAAACCGCUAAGAGUCUUAAGCGCAGUGAUUGAAGAAACUCAAAUGAAUCUUAAAACUUCUUCGGAAGAUGAAUCUCAGCUUGGUACAUUAGCCUUGCUCGAACCACCACCACCACCUACUCCAGACUGUACUCGUUUAUAUUUGUGGAUCUCAGUAGCAGUUAUUGUUCUGGCUUCAUUGAUUAUUGCUGGAAUACUAACAUUUUUCUGCAGACGCAAUAGAGAUGGCCGCUCUAGUCUAAGUCACAUCAUAACCAACAUAGAACUGCAAAAUUCGAGAGAAAGUGGAGUAGAAUCGUCCAGAUCAGAAGGAAGGCCUCAUUUCCAGUUUCAUGCAAUCACAGGGGACAAUAUUAAGCUAACUAUGGUUGAACGGUACUAAACUCUCUGCUAGUUUUUAUGGUUGUAUUGGUGAUAUAUUAACUGUAGGAUUAUGUUUGUUAGUAUUUUAAAUGCUAAUUAACAGUGAGAUUUUACAAUUAAGAAAUUUACCUGUUGCAAAGAAAAAUACCUGCAAUAAAAAAUAUUAAUGUGAAA